rnacentral:rRNA from 1 species
UCCCUACUGUCUCGGCCAGUGACUCAGCGAAAUUGUAUUGGGGGUGAAGAUACCCUCUACCCGUGGCUAGACGGAAAGACCCCAUGAACCUUUACUGCAACUUGGCAGUGAAGUUCGGGGCAGUCUGCGUAGGAUAGGUGGGAGGCUUUGAAGUGGGGAUUCCGGUCCUCAUGGAGCCAUCCUUGAAAUACCACCCUGGCUGUUCUGGACUUCUAACCCAGGCCCGUGAUCCGGGUCGGAGACAUUGCCUGGUGGGCAGUUUGACUGGGGCGGUCGCCUCCUAAAAGGUAACGGAGGCGCGCGAAGGUUCCCUCAGGCUGAAUGGAAACCAGCCGUAGAGUGUAAAGGCAUAAGGGAGCUUGACUGUGAGACCGACAGGUCGAGCAGGUGCGAAAGCAGGUCUUAGUGAUCCGGUGGCUCUGCAUGGAAAGGCCAUCGCUAAACGGAUAAAAGGUACUCUGGGGAUAACAGGCUGAUCGCGCCUGAGAGUUCAUAUCGGCGGCGCGGUUUGGCACCUCGAUGUCGGCUCAUCGCAUCCUGGGGCUGGAGCAGGUCCCAAGGGUUUGGCUGUUCGCCAAUUAAAGCGGUACGCGAGCUGGGUUUAGAACGUCGUGAGACAGUUCGGUCCCUAUCUGCCGUGGGCGUAGGAUACUUGAGAGGAGCUAUUCAUAGUACGAGAGGACCUGAAUGGACGUACCUCUGGUGCGCCGGUUGUCACGCCAGUGGCAUAGCCGGGUAGCCAUGUACGGAACGGAUAACCGCUGAAAGCAUCUAAGCGGGAAGCCGGCCUCAAGAUUAGGUAUCCCGGACUUCGGUCCCUAAAGGCCCCUUCUAGACGAGGAGGUGAUAGGCCAGGUGUGGAAGUGCAGCAAUGCAUGGAGCUAACUGGUACUAAUCGGCCGUGCGGCUUUUCCUU